rnacentral:rRNA from 1 species
AGCAGCCGCGGUAAUUCCAGCUCCAAUAGCGUAUAUUAAAGUUGUUGCAGUUAAAAAGCUCGUAGUUGAAUUUCGAGAUCAAAUUGUUGGUCGUGCCUUGGUACGCACUGGCAUUAUUGGUUUCUCCCUUCUGACGAACCAUGAUGUCAUUAAUUUGGUGUCUUGGGGAAUCAGGACUGUUACUUUGAAAAAAUUAGAGUGUUUAAAGCAGGCUCACGCUUGAAUACAUUAGCAUGGAAUAAUGAAAUAGGACGUUUGAUUCUAUUUUGUUGGUUUCUAGGAUCGACGUAAUGAUUAAUAGGGAUAGUUGGGGGCAUUAGUAUUCAAUUGUCAGAGGUGAAAUUCUUGGAUUUAUUGAAGACUAACUACUGCGAAAGCAUUUGCCAAGGAUGUUUUCAUUAAUCAAGAACGAAAGUUAGGGGAUCGAAGACGAUCAGAUACCGUCGUAGUCUUAACCAUAAACUAUGCCGACUAGGGAUCGGAUGAUGUUAAUUUUUAAUGACUCAUUC